UACGAAGGAUGCAAGCGUUAUCCGGAUUUAUUGGGUUUAAAGGGUGCGUAGGCGGUCUUAUAAGUCAGUGGUGAAAUCCUAUCGCUUAACGAUAGACGUGCCAUUGAUACUGUAGGACUUGAGUACAGAUGCCGUUGGCGGAAUGUGUCAUGUAGCGGUGAAAUGCUUAGAUAUGACAUAGAACACCGAUAGCGAAGGCAGCUUGCUACACAAUUAUUGACACUGAGGCACGAAAGCGUGGGGAUCAAACAGG
rnacentral:rRNA from 1 species